AAAAAGUCCUUCAAGCAGAAGAAAAACGACACCAGAUGGAAAUCUCCAUCUACACAAAGCAACGAGGAGCCCCGGAUAGGCAACGCUGUGGGAUAGGUAGUAAUACCGUACACAACAACAGCACCCAGUCGGGUAGGUGGGGAGCGGAAACUCGAGCUCCACAGCGGAAAGGGCAGGCGCUGUGCCGCUGAGCUAAAUCCCCAGCCCCUAUGGAACCCUCUUGAUGCCCUCUCCGAGGCAGGCAGAUGAGGCAGAGGAGGACAGAAAACCCACUCCUGCGAGGUGGGCAGGGCCUGGCCCUGGAGCUGGCUCUUACGAGCUGCUGGUGCGUCUCCCUGUCUUUCACUUUUCUCACCGCAAGGACCAUGCUUUGGGGUGGGGAUGCUGACGAGCAGAAUGUCCCGGCCCUGGUGCCCAGGAAAAUGCCUUCUGGGAUGUCACAAUAUAAGAGAAGAAAAGAUGCGGGCUCAGGACCCAACUUCCAGUCCUGGCUCUGCUGUGGACACCUGGCUGGCGGUGGGUUCACAAAUCCCCAGAAAUCCAUAGACCCCAGCCAAGAACCUCUGAUUACACUGUGGAAUGAGAAAAGAACACCUUCAGCAACUGAG